UUUAUGAAAGAUAAUGUCUUUUUGUCACAUUGUGCAAGAAGAGUAUUGCUUUUCUGACUAUUUUGUGUGGGGAAGGUUGUAAUAUCUGUUCAGCUCUAUCAAGAACAAAUGUAGAGAGCGUCCCACCUAUUGAGACACUGCCUUAUUUCAGGAAGAAUACUGGUCAGGAACCCAGACAGAAAUGGAAAGACUAUCAAUUAUGAUUGACAGAGCAUCAUGACUGAUUAUCAGAAAUGAGAAAAUAUAAAAGUCACAGACUUUCCUUAUCCUGUCUUUCUCUUCUUUAAGUUUGCUUCAGUAUAGAAGAGGGAGAAUUGCUGUGUUCCUGUGACCCUGGGGAAAAAGGAAUUCCUAGAUUCACCUUCAGGAGAAAGAUUGACCUGGUAGAAAAUGAAACUGAGGAAAGAAAAAGAUAUGCACAACAGAGGGGAAGACAUUGGCUGAGCCUCACAAACAUUGCAGAUAUCCCUAUGUGACUCAGAAUCAACACAAGAUCCUGCCUUUAAAUACUGAUGCUGAAAAUCAAGAACUUCCUUUAAACUGAAACCAUCAGAACAAACAUGUUUAAAAAACACAAAUGUUAUUAUUAAUGUAAAGCAUUUCUAAAACGCUUUUUUAAAUGUGAAAAAGCAAUGAAAUUUUUAGUUCUGAUGCCACCAUACAAAUAGCUAGGAAACAGACACUUCUGUCUUCACAACAGUAAAAACAGAACAAACUGAAAAUCAAUAUGUUUUGUGGACCUAACAGAAAACUGAGAUUGCAGGAAGAGCUGUUACACCCAAAUAUGAAGAAAUAGAAGACUUCAGAGAGACAAAACCAAGAUCUGCUUAUCAGAAGUAGAAGACACUGGAUACAUAUAAACUGAUAAGAACACUUAGAACACUUACAUGGCAAUAUUAACAGAUUGCUAGAAUCUGAGUAUGGACUAUCUUGAGAAUGAUAAUCCCUUAAGAGCUUCCAUAUUAGAGGAGCCUGCCACAUUCACGGCCUUUAUCUGCAGUCAUCUCACCAGAUACUCACAGUGAAGAUGCCCUUGUAGCUCUGGCUGGGGCGGAGGAAGAGCAAUCCUUGUGAAUUACCUCCAGAGUAUGCUCUGUAAAACAGGUUUAUUUUUCCAGGAGAAAAGACACUAACAGCAUCUUCUAAUGUCCAUGAGAUGAUGAAUGAUGACCCUUAUUUCAUUUCUCUUUUCUCUUUUAUUCUUGGUUAGCCUGGUUAGA